rnacentral:rRNA from 1 species
CCUACGGGGCGCAGCAGUGAGGAAUAUUGGUCAAUGGGCUUACGCCUGAACCAGCCAAGUCGCGUGAGGGAAGACUGCCCUAUGGGUUGUAAACCUCUUUUGUCAGGGAGCAAUUGGCGCUACGUGUAGCGUUAUCGAGAGUACCUGAAGAAAAAGCAUCGGCUAACUCCGUGCCAGCAGCCGCGGUAAUACGGAGGAUGCGAGCGUUAUCCGGAUUUAUUGGGUUUAAAGGGUGCGUAGGCGGAAGGUUAAGUCAGCGGUCAAAUGUCGGUGCUCAACACCGGCCUGCCGUUGAAACUGGUCUU